GCGUCACACCAGGUCUCGGACGUCACACAAUGUAAUGUCGGGCGUCACACAGUGUAGUGUGACGUCUAAGACAAAAGCGUCAUAAAAAAGGGUCAACUGCAUGAUUUUUUUUGUGGACAGUUCAUUUUGUUAAUUAGUUUCGUUUUUUUGGUCAAAUUUUUGCAUUUUAUGCCACAUAACGUUUGGCUCAUGCGACUGACAUGACCGGCUGACGGCGACCCCCACACUGAAAUUCACUUCAAUCAAACAACCUCGUUAAAAUUAAGGAACGUUUGGCUACAUGCACAAACACACCUGCGCCUUCUACGUUCAAAGGACCGUUCUUCAUUCAAGCUCUCUACAUUAUAUAAAAGCGAAAAAGUUCAAGCCAAGGAACAAACAAAGCGAAGACAAAGACGACGACGCAGAAGCAGAGCUCCCUCCCCUGCAAGGAAGAAGCAACCAAGCCUAAUGCCCGACGCCGGGGCUGGGCACGGACCGCAUCGACCGCCCGGCCCUCGAGAACCCCCUCGGCGCCGCCGCCGCCUCACCGCCACCGUUGUAGCCGCUGGGGCUCGGCGAUAGUUUGAGCACCAGGCCGCCUUGGAAGUGCAUCACCCUGCUGCCGACCUCCGCCGGCAGCAUGCGCCCUUGGCACGGCGAGCAGCAGAGCAGGACCAGCAGCAUCACGAAGAACAACGCCCACACGAACCGCAAAGGCGGCGCGCAGCCCCUCUUGCUGCUGCUGCAUGGACGAGUGCAAGUAGGAGAACCCAUGCCGAAACCGUGGGAUGACGCUGCUCUGCUUGCUCGGGGCAGAACUGAAGGAAGAAGCAGAGCUCGUGCUGGAGAAAUGCUUCUGUGAGUGCUUGGCACGCGCGCCUACGCUGCCUGCCUUGGCAAAAGAUGAGUAGAUGACUUGCUCUCGAGCUGAUGGGGC
rnacentral:lncRNA from 1 species